UAUCUCUGUAGAGUCUGCAUAUCAAUAAGCGGAGGAAAAGAAACUAACUAGGAUUCCCUCAGUAACGGCGAGUGAAGCGGGAAGAGUUCAAAUUUGAAAUCUUCAAGGUUCUACCUUGACGAAUUGUAGUUUAAAGAAGUGUUUUCUGUUGGAGUUUUGGUAAAAGUUCUUUGGAAUAGGACAUCAUAGAGGGUGAGAAUCCCGUAUUUGACCAUUAUUUCCAGCUUUGUGAUACACUUUCAAAGAGUCGGAUUGUUUGGGAAUGCAGUCCAAAAUGGGUGGUAAAUUUCAUCUAAAGCUAAAUAUUGGCGAGAGACCGAUAGCGAACAAGUACCGUGAGGGAAAGAUGAAAAGAACUUUGAAAAGAGAGUUAAACAGUACGUGAAAUUGUCAAAAGGGAAGCGUUUGACACCAGUGUUGUUUUCUCGAAAAUCAAUUAAAAAAAGUUGGAUUUUGUAUUGUUAAGACCUUAUCAGCUUACUGUACUCUUUUCUUGCUUUUUUUAAUGCACUUUUCGUUUAACAAGUCAACAUCAAUUUCUUUUGUUGUAAAAGGGUCAUUGGAAGGUGGCUUUCUUUUCGGAGAAAGUGUUUAUAGCCUUUGGCCUCUGCAAUCGGAGAGAUUGAGGUCUGCAGCGUAGAUCCUUCGGGGUUAGAUACAUUUGUGCUAAGUUAUAGCCUUUCAUAGACAACUUGUUGACUAUGAUCAGUCAUGUAGCUUACUCGCUUAUGCUAUUUUACCUACGCUUAGGAUGUUGACGAUCAGCUGAGCGCG
rnacentral:rRNA from 1 species